rnacentral:rRNA from 1 species
AUUGAACGCUAGCGGGAGGCUUUACACAUGCAAGUCGAACGAGUGGCGGACGGGUGAGUAAUAUAUCGGAACGUGCCCAGUAGCGGGGGAUAACUCCUCUCAAGAGUGGCUAAUACCGUAUACUAUUGUACCAGCCGAUAUCGGCUUGGCGAGUUGGUGGGGUAAAGGCUCACCAAGUCAACGAUCCUUAGCUGGUUUGAGAGGACGACAAGCCACACUGGGACUGAGACACGGCCCAGACUCCGACGGGAGGCAGCAGUGGGGAAUUUUGGACAAUGGGGGAAACCCUGAUCCAGCCAUCCCGCGUUUAUGAGAAGGCCGUCGGUUUGUAAAGUACUUUGGGCAGAGAAGCGGUAUCUGCAGAAUAAGCACCGGCUAACUACGUGCCAGCAGCCGCGGUAAUAC